UCACAUAUCUUUUCUUGAAUGUGAAAGCGGAAAAUUCAAUUCUCAGAGCUCAAUUGGUUGAGUUAAGCCACAGGCUGCAGUCCCUUAAUGAGAUGAUAAGUUGCCCACACUCUCCAUACCUCGAAAAAUGUACUACUUUUGAAGGACCUGAAAAGUACCCUGCAACCGUUAUACAGGGUCCGAGCAACAUAGCUUUUAAUUAUCAUCAUGACCUAGAUGAUUUCUUGAACCUUUGGAAUUUGCUCAAUGUGAAUCAACCUAUUAUGGCUUCUUCCGAUUCCUUCAUCUACUGAUCGUGAGUGAUAUGAAUUA
rnacentral:lncRNA from 1 species